rnacentral:rRNA from 1 species
AAAUUACUACGGGAAACCGGAGCUAAUACCGGAUAAUAUUUCGAACCGCAUGGUUCGAUAGUGAAAGGUGGUUUUGCUAUCACUUAUAGAUGGACCCGCGCCGUAUUAGCUAGUUUGUAAGGUAACGGCUUACCAAGGCGACGAUACGUAGCCGACCUGAGAGGGUGAUCGGCCACACUGGAACUGAGACACGGUCCAGACUCCUACGGGAGGCAGCAGAC